rnacentral:tmRNA from 1 species
UCUGUUUUUCUCCGCCCCCCGCCGCCUAUAUUGGGGGUGCCGGUUCGCCGGCUAUGGAAAUAAAUGACCGUCGCAAUAAACCAUUCGGACCCGGGGGCGGUACCCGGCGCCUCCACCAAAGUCCAUCGUCAGGUGGCUUUUGGCGGGGGCGAAAUAGGAUCGACGAGGGCGUAAAGGGCGUGUUUUUUCUCGGUAUGGUUCCGCCGACAUCGGGCCAUUGCAAUAGUUGCCAACGACAACUUUGCUCCGGUUGCUCAGGCUGCGUAACGCAGUUUGAAAGACCAUCUUAAAGUCCUAGUGGGUUAAGCUCCGCUAGGCGGGGUCCGGAGGCACCUGGCAACAGAAGCCUCCACU